UUUCUAUGUCCACCCCCUAAAACUCAAGGUCAAGAUUCUGACAGUUUCAGCAGAGAAACACCUUCCUCUCCUCUCCCCCUGAAUAUUCUUCUUCCUUCAAAUCAAUAUCAGAGAGUCGUACUUCGUUUUAGAGAGACAAAAAUGGCGGACGAAGAGGAAUCUGAGCUAAGCGAGAAGCAGAAGAUUGAUAUAGCCAAGUGGUUCCUCCUCAACUCUCCUCCUGGUGAAAUCCAAUUCGUCGCCGAAGAUGUGAAGGCGGUAGUCAACGACGACAUUUUGUACGAAGAAGCAGCCUCAGAGGCUUUCCCACUGUAUAACAAAUCACACAUGAUUUCGCUAGAAAUGCCUGGUGGAAUUGGAGAUGUUCUAGUUACAUCUUUCGGUGAGCUCCGUGGGACUAAGUACCUUGAUCCCAGGACUGCUCAUGUUGCUGUCGUUGACCAUAUCAAACAGGUUUGUACAGACGUGAGACCUGCAUUGGAUGAGGAACUUCCAUUCGCAUAUGUUGAGGAAUACAGAAGAUCGUGUUGAAUCCAAAAGUAGUACCAUCAAGCAUUUUAUGCACCUGUUCUCUUUGAGGAUUAAAGAAUACAAGAGUGACACUCCAACACAAAUAUGGGAUGAAACAAAUGUCAUCAAAAGUAUUGGUUGGAGGAAACGGUGCAAGUAACAACUGCUGUAGCAGAACUGCCAUCCUCCAAUGACGUUUACAAAGAUAUGAAAGAUUCAAUUUCUCAUGGUUGCCUUCUGGAUUAGUGCCAAGAGUGCUGCUUGCCUUCAUCUGGUCUCUGUAAUUUAACCUCUCUGAACCUAAGCAAUUGCAAUCUUGUUGAAAGAUCAUUUCCCAAUGACAUUAGCUUCUUACUCUCUUUGGUGGCAUUAAAUCUGAGUGGAAAUUUUUUUAUCAGUCUUCCUGCAACCAUUAGAUCACUUGUGAAGCUUGAAAAUAUUAAGUUGGAGAAUUGCAGGAGACUUGAAAAGUUAUCUGUGUAAGGCCGGAUGGUUGUUCUUCAAUUGAAACUUGAUGUAUGUAAUUUCAGCAGUUUGGAGAAAUCAUAAUUCAAUUUCAUCAAUUGCUUUAAAGCAA